rnacentral:rRNA from 1 species
CACGUAGGGUGCGAGCGUUGUCCGGAAUUAUUGGGCGUAAAGAGCUCGUAGGCGGUGUGUCGCGUCGGCCGUGAAAACUUGGGGCUUAACUCUGAGCGUGCGGUCGAUACGGGCAUCACUUGAGUUCGGCAGGGGAGACUGGAAUUCCUGGUGUAGCGGUGAAAUGCGCAGAUAUCAGGAGGAACACCGGUGGCGAAGGCGGGUCUCUGGGCCGAUACUGACGCUGGGGAGCGAAAGCAUGGGGAGCGAACAGG